CUUGCCUGCCCCAUCGGAGCCGCCGGAGGUGGAGUCCGCCCCCCGGACCCCCGAACUCCUGUGCGUGCCCCUCCAUGGUGCUCUAGGCUGUGGAGGGCAAGGCCAGUCCCCGGGAGCAGGGUGAGGAAGGGGCCCCCACGCAGCCCUGCUGUGGAUUGGCGGGAGGACCCCAGGCUGGGCCAACCCAGCAGCCCGCGGCCAGGAGCGGGCAUCCCAAUGGGGAAAUCGGCCAGGAGGGGCUGGGGAAGCUGGUGCCUUCGCCCGCGCCCCGUGAGCUUUACCUCCGUGCGACAAGAGCGGUGGCUCCGGGCGGGGCCCACGCAGCUGGAGCCUCCAUCUCUCCUGCGGGACCAGAGCACCGGGAAGACCUGACCGAGACCCAACGUCCCUGCCCCCGUUCUGGGGCUCUCUGCAGGCCCCAACUUCUGCGGGACUCUCCAGUGGGAGCAGCAAGGUGAGAGGGUGUCCCCCGACCCCACCCCGUAAAUCCCCCAGGUGGGAGUGAGCGACCCAUGUUGGUACUCCAGAGAAGCGGGACUCAGAGCCCUACCCACCCUAUAGUUUGGAUUUAAGGCGGGACCACUCCACUGCAUCUUAGGCAGAUUCCCAGAGAAGACCCGAGGUGCAUGAGAUAUAAUACCCACCCGCUUGGCACAGCCAUCCUGCGAUCUAAGCAGGACAUCAGUAUAAGGCUCUUAGGAUCAUUCCUGGUCUCUCAUUCCUCCUCACAUAGGGUUCUCAGGAACAACCCCUAUACAAACCGGGACAGAGGCACCUCACUACUCCUUCUGUGCCCCACCUUCUCCACUGACCCUGCCGGAGUGCAGCACACACAGCAAGCAUUUAAUAAAUCGCUUGAAGUGGGGAACAUCUGUACUCGGUAAAGAAACCACAGGAAUUGGGAACUGCCGGUUGAAGAUUAUUUACCAGUUCCAGCAAAAUUGACUGCACCUGCCAUACUGCAGGCCGGUGCAGCAUCAGGAGCUGGAGACCAGGGGCAACAGGCAGCACGCGUGCUCCAGCUCAGAGUGGAAGGCCCUGGGAAAUGGUUUGAUUUCCUGCGCUGAACUGAUGCUGCUUCCAGAAUGAAUCUGCUCCUUGGUGGGUUCUGCUGAUGUGGCCAGUGCUAGCCUAGGCCACGACCACCUAGCCCACCACCCAGAAGGCAGCAUCCCCUGCUCCUGCUUUAACAAGCUGGCCCAUUUUCAUCUCUCCUACCUCUGGGAGUAGCAGGGGCGCUCCCGGAAGCUGACACCCCCUCCACAGGUCCGGCUGCAGGGGCUCCACUGGCUCCAGGGUCCCCAGGUGUCACUCUGCCGCCUCACCUUGGGAGCCUGCAGAAGACAGGACCAUGCAUCAGCAUUGCCCACUCACAGCCUGAGCCCAGAGGCCCCUCCAAAGAUGCUCUGCCUAAAACCCUCCCCUACCCAUCAAGGAGUCUGGGAUUCUCCCUUCCAGGGCCCACCUUUAGGACUCAGCAACACUGCCGGGCACCCCAAAACAUAUUCCUUUUCAGAAUUAGCCUGCUUUCCUCAUAAGGAGCUGAGAGCCAGGCCUGGAGGGCGGGAGCAGGAGCAGCUGGGAAGAGUUUGGAGUUUCAGGGGCCACUGGAGGGGAGGGACCCUACAGCCAGGGGCAGUUUGAGGGUCCAGGCAUUUGUAGGUUAACCGUGAUGUAGGGGAGGGGGGCCUAAAAGAAAAUAAAGGGAAGCAACGUGGGGGGAUCCUGCUAAUCUGGCCGAGACUCCCAGGAGUACCCCAAUAUUCAUCCCCUCCUUCUCCCAUUGUGAGAGAAUGCUUGAAAACUUGACUCAGCUGGGUACCUGGCUGCCCAAAAUUUAAAAAAAAAAUACAUUUCCUGGACUGCCUGCAGCUAACUGUGGCUACAUCACUUAGUUCUCAUCAGUGAGAUGUAAAUACAAGUGUUGGGCAGCUGCCGCAAAUAAUCUCCUCAAGAGAGAGCCUGCGUGAGCCUUUGUCCUUUUCUCCUUCCUCCUGUACUCUUUCAGGCUGUCUGGGAAGCAGAUGUGAUGGCUGGAGUUGGAGCAGCCUUUUAGACUGUGAGGUAACUUGGAAAUAGAGGCUUCAAACAGUGAAGCAAAGAUAGAGGGACUCUAGAGCCUGGAGGAUUUUGUGCAACAGAAUAGCCCCAGACUUCUGACCCCUGGGUGUUUAUAUGAGAGAGGAAUCAUGUCUGUCUUAUUGAAGAACUGUUAUUUGGGACUCUACACAGGAUUAUAAUCCUAGCAGGUACACUUUCCCACCAGAAAGAUUGGACCCCUUGCAGCUGGCAUCAGGAAUCCACAUGCCACACACACAUUAUCUCAUUUCAUCCUCACAACAACCCGACAGACCCCAUUGCAUGAAUAAGAAAAGUGAGGCAGAGAGAGGAAACCACAGGGGAAGAAGUGGGCACAGUAGCCGGCCAGCCUCACUGCAGUCCUCUGCUCCCCUGCCGAGGCUGUGCCCCCACCCACCUGGGGGAAUCAAAUGAGACACUAGAUGAUUCCCUACAGGGUUGGACAGGGAUUAGAUGUAACUUCACAAUUUUCCCAGGAGGCAUAUGGUGUACAUGCAAACAUUUGCUGGAAGGGGACUUUCUUUUAGGGUAUCACCACUUAAGACUCAAGGAAAAAUACCAUUCCCACUUUUCAGAGAAAGAGCUCAAUGGUCACACAGAAAAGCAGCCGGGCACGGUGGCUCAUGCCUGUAAUCCCAGCACUUUGAGAGGCCAAGGCAGGCAGAUCACCUGAGGUCAGGAGUUCGAGACCAGCCUACCCAACAUGGCGAAACCCCGUCUCUACUAAAACUACAAAAAAUUAGCCAGGCGUGGCGGCGGGUGCCCGUAAUCCCAGCUAGUCGGGAGGCUGAGGCAGGAGAAUUGCUUGAACCCGGGAGGUGGAGGUUGCAGUGAGCCGAGAUUGCAUCACUGCACUCCAGCCUGGGCGACAGAGUGAGACUCCAUCUCAAAAAAAGAAAAGAAAAGCAGGCUCUUGCUUUCAUGGUGACCCCUGAGCAGCUUCGCUGAAUCUCAGGUGAGGAAGGACGUUUACUCAUCUCUAACAUCCCUGGUGCCAAACAUCUAGUUAUCCUUGUCUUAUAACAAAACCCAGAACACUGAAGCAGAACAAACCACGCACAAACCACGCUAAGCCUGCCGAACCACACACAACCAAGAAGGAAGGGCUUGCCAGAUGAGAGGUCUUAGCUUUCACUUUGUAAAAUAUCUACUCCUUCAAGUCUAACUUGGACAAAAAU
rnacentral:lncRNA from 10 species